rnacentral:lncRNA from 1 species
CACCAUUGUUUGAGACAGCCAGGCAGCUCUGUCCCUUAAUAAAGCCCUGCUUUGGGUGUUCGUGUUUUGGCUCAUUUUAUUUCUCUCACUUGGGAUCUUGUGCUUGUGAGGCAGGCACCAGAAUCACUGAGCUAAAUCCCCGGCUCCAAGGUCUUUCCCAGAGCAAAAGCCAUGUUUUAUGGAGAGAUGGAUAUUCUGUCUUGGCUCCAAUGGAGACAUUUUCCACCCUUCCCCACUGUGCUGUCUGCCCUUUACAGGAUGCACCAACAGAGUUUUCUUGCCCCCUGGCUUAGUUGAGCUGGGAGGCCUUGGCUGGAAUGAGAGAAGGGUCGGGUGUUUUCCCCUCGCUUGCUCCUUCACAAGGCGGUUUGGUAAUGGUGCUUGGCUCUGCCUACCAAACACCAUUGGCUCCAUAACCCAGCUCUCUUAUGCAGGUGCAGCUCUUGCUGGGAUGAUAGCAGUUUCCUGCUGGUGCCCAUUCCAGGGAGCUGUGCCAUUCUUCACUGGUGCCUGCUAUAACUCUGACUGAAAUUUUACCAGUAGCCUCAUCAAUAACUGAAUCAUCUGCCUCCUGACACCAUCCUGGCUCUGACACCCGUCAUCUGGCCUGGUCCUUCUCAGAGGUUCUGUGUGCAAAGGCAAAGUUAAGCUCCAAGAGAUCAUUCAAAACAAGACUCACUUCACGGCAAACAACCCCUAACUGUGCUUUUAAGUAGAUCAAACUGUCAGAGGAUGUGAAGUGACUUAGUGAAACCGUCUCAAAAUAAAAAAUAAAAAAGAGCUAGGAAUGUAGCUCAGUUCAAAGAUUGAGUUUAACCCCCAGUACCAAAGAAAGAAAAAAAAUCUUAUUAAUUUCAAAUCCAAAUAAUUUAAAUAUUGUGUUAAUUCAGCCAGAUAUUAACUUGUAUUUCACUAUUUUGCUAUCCAUGCAAAAAGGAUUUACAAUGCCAAAUAAUAAGCCAACAAAUUUAUAACAAAAAAAAUCUACAUGAGAGAACAAAAAUUUUUAGCAACUCUAAAGUGUUUUAGAAAGGUACAUUUAGGUUUCAACAGAGAAUCUAAUUGAUUUAUAAUGUUGGCUAUUGUGCUAUUUAAAAAAUAUACAUUCUUGGGCGGGGGAUGUAGCUCAGUGGUUUCGCCACCUGCUGUGCAAGUGCAAGGACCUGAGUUCGAUCCCCGGUACCAAAAGAAAAAAAAUUCUUCUGAACUCAAUGUGAUAUCCUAGAUUGCAUUCUGGAACAAGAAACUGGAAUCAGAAUACAGUGUUGAGUUUAGUUAAUAACAAUGUGCAAAAGUUGGCUUUUUAGUUUGGCAGAUGUGCUAUGGUAAUGUUAAGAUGUCAACAUUAAAAAAAUCUAGGUAAUGGGUAUAUGAGAACUUUCAGAGUUAUCGUUGCAAUUUUUCUGUAGAUGUAAAAUCAUUCCAAGGUGUAAAAGUUUACUAUUAAAAAAUUCUUGCACAUUGAUGAAGGCCAAUUCCCCAAGAACUCUUGAAACAGUGAUGGAUGCUCUUUAUUGAACAACACUGGUUGGCACGAUGCCUUAGACAUGUGGCAUGUUCAUGACAAUGUUAUGAAGUAGGUAUGGUUAUUAUCUUCAUUUCACAGAUAAGGAAACUGGUUCAGAGUGAUUAAGUAAUUUGUCCACAGAUACACAGGUAAUUAUUGAUAGAAUCAGCGUAUGACAAGAUUUGUAUAGUCCUAAAGCCUGGGCUCUGCAAUUCUACAGUUACACUAUGCUGCUUCUCUUAGUUUGAGUUUAUCUCUAUAUAAAGGAAUUAUGACUUAUUCAAAUUGGCACUCAUCUUUUGGCUGAAUUAGUGAAACACAUGAAUCUGGUUAUUGAUACUAUAUCUUUAAGCAAACCAGAGCAUUAUUAUGAAAAGCAAUUGUGCUUAACAAAAGGUCAAACCUUCCAUCUUUCUGCUUUGUAAAACUGGGCUUUACUUUUCCAAAAGGCGGCAGGAGGCCUUGGGGAGGUCUCCUUUCCAAGGAGCUUGAUGCAUUUGGAGCUAAGCCACUGGCCCUUGGCUCACUUUGGGAUGCUGGAUGAUGCCCAGGAUUUGCCUAGCUCUCUUCAGGUGGGCUUUGGCCAUGAGUGGUUUACUGAGAAAUGGAAAUGUGUAGUGUGCUGCAUCAUGGCAUAAGCAUGGUGGGUGGUCAUUUUAGUUACUUUUCUCUUGCUGCUGAGACAAAAUACCCGACACCCCAAAUUAAAGGAGGAAAGGUUAUUUAGCUCACAGUUUGCAGAGCUUCAGUCCAUAAUCAGCUAGAUCCAAGGAAGAGUGGCACACUGCAGAGGGGCAACAGUUCAUGGAGGACAGAAAGUAGCAAAGCAAGCAAGGGAGCUCAACAGUAUCUUUCUUUUUUCUACCCUUAUACUUUUCCAGACUACUUAGUGGGGGUAGCAUUCUCACCCUAAUCCUAGUGCCCUUGACUCUAGCAUUGCAACAUGAAUAAAUCUGUCACACACUCUAGAUCCAGCCACCUCUGAAAAAGCCCCACCUAAGACCACAUGAGGCUUUGGGGGACUUCUAGACACAGCCGUAACAAUAGCUCUGGGUCAAGAAAGCCAACUCUGUAUGCAGAGAGAGAAUACCUGGCUCCUUUAACAGGAGAGGUCUUAGAAUGCUCUCUGUGCCCAAGUAUCACUCCUGUUGUUCUAGCGGGGUGUUUGUGAUCACCUAAUGCAUGUUAAAUGCUGCGCACCAUUUGUCACACACACGCACACACGCACACACACACACACACACACACACACACACUGCUUGUAGCUCCUCAUGGCUUUGCUCAGGUGCAGCCCUUGGUAAGUCGAUGGGCCUCUGCAGCCCAACUGGGAUUUGGCUUGGCUUUAGUCCAUCACGUGUUUAUCUGAAGGGACAAAAUCUUAUUAUACUGCAGGAUUCCCAACCUAACCCCUCUCCUCUUGAAAGUCUAAGUGUGUUUGCAAAUCAUUUCUGUUCUCUGUAAAGGAGACUGUCAUUGUCAGGCUAUGGUUUUUUGGACUUUCUUGAGACAGAGUCAGAAUGGAACAGAGAGAAGAGGAGUAGUGUACUCACAACAAGAAAGUUUUUAGAGGAGGUGGGGAGGGUCAAUUCUAGUGUGAAAAGCAAGAGAAGAGCAGUAGAAAAUAAGGAAAGUACAGUAGUUCCCUUAGUAGCUGUUUUAAUUUUCCUUCAUUUUGGUUAGACAUGGUCCAAGACGGAAAAUUCCAGAAAUAAUUCAUAAGUUCAAAAUUGUUCUGAAUAGUAUGAUGACAUCUCACUCCAUCCCACUCUGUCCCUCCUUGGAAGUGAAACAUUCUUUUGUCCAGUGUGUCCAUGCCAGGGCAGGAGAGAAAGAGAGAGACUGAAAGAAAGCACAUAGCACACGCACCUAUCUGCUAUAGCAUAACUGUCCUAUUUUCUUAUUGGUUACAUUGUUAAUCUCUUGUGCCUCAUUUGUCGAUUCAGUGUUGUCAGAGGUGUAUGGAUGCGUGGGAAAAGACACAGUUUAUAAAGGGCUCAGUUCCACCGAUCAUUUCAGGCCUAUCCUCCGGAUCUACUCUAUAUGAGGAAGAAAAGGAACUUAAACUAGCACUCUACGCUCUGUACUCCCUCCCCAGUGCUGAGAAAAUGCAGAUAAAAGACCAAAACUAAUCUUCUUUUGGUUGCCAAACAAUAUUUUCGUGACUAAGAACCCCUGCCUGUGCUGAGAGCGGACCACGUAAUGCCCAGCUUCAACAAAGAUGUGUGCAGUCAGCAGCAACCUCUGUCUCUCCUCCCCAGCUGCUGCUGCCCCCAUUCCUGCCCACCACACUGCCCUGAGCUCUGGAGCUGAUUCCCAUUGAUCUUCCAACUGCCAAAGUCAGUGAACACUUCCAGCCCUUCUCUUAUGUAACCUCUCUACAGCAUCUGUCUGUUGCCAAUUCUAGGUUCUUAGAGCUAGAAAAUAACAGUACAAGGAUUUAAGUGUGGACCUAUUCGAUUCUGAAGCUCUUUUGUUAUUGUUAUUUAAUGAGUAUUACGUAUUACAUAAGAUAAUUAUCUUAUUAGUAUGUAAUUAAUAAAUUAUUAUUUAUAAGUAUUAUGUCAGCGGUUUCAGCCUUCUGAUAUAAAAAUCCCAAACUUUUUAGAGGCACUGAUAUGAGGCUGUCAAAUGUGUGUGUGUGUGUGUGUGUGUGUGUGUGUGUGUGUGUGUACGUGUGCCCGUGUAGUUGUUAGGCCAUUUUAAAAAAUGCCCAACUACAAUAUAUCAUCAUUAUCAUUCAUUUUUGUUUUAAAAUUCCCCAAUGUACUGAUAUGAAAGUACCUCCUUACUGUGUUGUUAAGCAAGAUGCUAUUUGCUGUAUUAAAAAUUAAUUUUUACAAAUAUAUCUGCUGGCAUUACAGCACUUUUUUUGGUAGAAUUAGAAAUCAGCAACAGUUUAGGGUUGGGAACCAGAAGUGUGGAGUGGGAGGGAGACUUCCUACAUAGUCAGUGCAGGAGGAAUUGCACAUUCUGAAUUUUGUGCAAGGAGUAUCGUCUAUUAACUAUUUCAAAAAUACAUUAAUUUAAAAUAAAUCUUUAGAGCAAAGCACUAUGGCAUACCCCUGUAAUCCUGGUUACUUGGGGCGGGGGGCAGGGCGAGACAGGAGGAUCACAAGUUAGAGGCAAGCCUGGGCAAUUUAGCAAGACCCUAAAGGGAAAAGGAUGGGAAUGUAGCUCCGGGGUAGAGGAGUGCUUGCAUAGUAUGUAUGAGGCCCCAUUCAAUCCCCAGGACAAUAAAUAAAUAAAUCUCUAAAAGAAAAGUAUUAAUACCCCCAGAAACAUGUUUAAUAUAAUCACAACAUAAUUUGAGUAAGUUUGAUUUUACUCUUAUUUUUCUCUUUUUGACCUGCCCCGGUGAGAACUCUCUUGGGGCCUGACAAUAGUCUCAGGCUGACCCCAAUGGCAUACCUGGCUCUCACUAACCACAUGCAGAUGCAUGCUGGCUGCUUCCUAAAGAAUUCCUGUGCCCACAGGCAGGAGCAGCCCUUGUGACGGUCCCUUCCAGGUGCUCAAAAUUCCAAACAAUUUUCCUAGCAUUACAGCAUAAAUAGGGGAGUUGAAUCUGGCUGGGGUCAGUGGCCUAAGAUGAGAAGCCUGGUUUUGAGCAGUUCUUACCCUAAUGCAAGUUCUUUAACUGCAUUGAAUCUCAAAUCAUGUGAGCAGUUAGUGGAUUAGACUAGCACCCUCCUACAGACUGUCUCAAAAUAUGCAUUUUGAACAAAUGUCCUGGGCUUUCUGAUGCCUUUGGAGCAGCUCUAAGAAACUUAAAAAAUAGCUUGGAAUGUGUAGUGAGCUACACAGAUAGACUAAGGAUCAUGACUGAGCUUUAAUAAGAAUUUGAGCUUUUUCUGGGGCGGGGGGAAAAGAGGCCGUGGGAUCAACGAGAGUCAAAGUCAAAUAGAAUAAUUCCCCUCCCCCGCCACACCAGGGGUCACACAGGAUGUGUCUCAGAUGGAGUCCACUAACACAAACAGGAUCUGGAGAGAAAUAGCAAUUCUUCCUUUUCACUCUGAACCUCAGUCCGACCAGUUCCGGAAACAGUCCUGAUUAGAGCAUAAUUGAUUUGGACUCCACUAGCAGAGCAGCCAGGCCUGCAUCCCGCCUUCUCACGCUGAGCAAGCUGUGCUGUAUCAUCUGACUCCUUAUUGCAUUAAAAGCAAUAUGAUAUGACAUGUGCUGGUUUUCUAACAACAUUUGCAAACGAAGAAAGAUUAUAUAGUCCUUGGCUGUGCCAACCAUACUGUAGAGAAAGGGUGGGACAUUUCUAUCCAGGCCCCAUUGACAGCAAACAAGCCUG